GAUGAACGCUGGCGGCGUGCUUAACACAUGCAAGUCGAACGAAGCACCUUGAUUCGAUUCUUCGGAUGAAGAUCUUGGUGACUGAGUGGCGGACGGGUGAGUAACGCGUGGGUAACCUGCCUCAUACAGGGGGAUAACAGUUAGAAAUGACUGCUAAUACCGCAUAAGACCACAGCACCGCAUGGUGCAGGGGUAAAAACUCCGGUGGUAUGAGAUGGACCCGCGUCUGAUUAGGUAGUUGGUGGGGUAACGGCCUACCAAGCCGACGAUCAGUAGCCGACCUGAGAGGGUGACCGGCCACAUUGGGACUGAGACACGGCCCAAACUCCUACGGGAGGCAGCAGUGGCGAAUAUUGCACAAUGGGGGAAACCCUGAUGCAGCGACGCCGCGUGAGCGAUGAAGUAUUUCGGUAUGUAAAGCUCUAUCAGCAGGGAAGAAAAUGACGGUACCUGACUAAGAAGCACCGGCUAAAUACGUG
rnacentral:rRNA from 1 species